rnacentral:rRNA from 1 species
AACGAACGCUGGUGGCAUGCCUAACACAUGCAAGUCGAACGAUUGCCUUCGGGUGAUAGUGGCGCACGGGUGCGCAACGCGUGGGAAUCUGCCCUUAGGUUCGGAAUAACAGCUGGAAACGGCUGCUAAUACCGGAUGAUAUCGCGAGAUCAAAGAUUUAUCGCCUGAGGAUGAGCCCGCGUUGGAUUAGGUAGUUGGUGGGGUAAAGGCCUACCAAGCCGACGAUCCAUAGCUGGUCUGAGAGGAUGAUCAGCCACACUGGGACUGAGACACGGCCCAGACUCCUACGGGAGGCAGCAGUGGGGAAUAUUGGACAAUGGGCGCAAGCCUGAUCCAGCAAUGCCGUGUGAGUGAUGAAGGCCCUAGGGUUGUAAAGCUCUUUUACCCGGGAAGAUAAUGACUGUACCGGGAGAAUAAGCCCCGGCUAACUCCGUG